rnacentral:misc_RNA from 1 species
CGCCGGGCCCGCGGGCGCCGCGCUCAUGUACUACACCGAGACGCUGGCCAGCCACCACUACCGGGGUUCGAUGUCCAGCCUGCAGUCGGCCACGAGCGGUUUCUCCUGCUUAAGCAGCAAGUCUGCCACCAGCUCGUGCCCCUCCCGGUGAUGGGGUCCCACCGCCCCGGUCUUGGCGCCUCUGCCCGCCCCUCAAACCCCGUCACCCCCUCUAUUGGACUAAUUGCCCCACAUGGGGCAUUAAUUGAGAGUGACAUUAAGUGCCCCAGAAAUAAAAUACAUUUGACAUAAUUCAUAAAAUGUGUGUUAAUUACAUUAUAAAUAUAAUCUUGCUUAAACGUCAGAUAAUAUAAACUUCUAAUAAAUUAAUUAGUAUAUUCUAGAUAGUUACAAUUUGUAGCGAUUGAAAGAAGUUUAUUUUAAUACAUUACCAGGCGCGAUGGAAGGUGCUUAUUGACCUCUUAUGUAGACUCAUCAAUGGAUUUGUCAAUAAACAAAUUAUUUAAAACAGACAAUACGACAACUAAUUAAUUGAUCGUCUCUGGGACACUUAAGUUUUUGAGGGGACAAACGACGUCGUUUUGUAAUGACGAAUGGGGCUGAUAAACUUUUAUGGGGCACAUCGAUUUGAUCGAUUUAAAAUAAUAAAUCGAACAGUUCUCGUGACUUUGUGUGUAGUUUAAAUGAAUCACUGAUUUAUUCUCUGGAGGAUAUGAUUUUCUACAAUGUAUGCUAUUUGCACAAAUACCAUUUUUGGUAUUUAAAUACUUACGUAAAAUGCUACAGAAUUAUCUUUUUUUACUUAUGAAUAAUAAUAAAAUACUGUGACAAAUCAAGAUAUUUAUUAAUAACGUUUUUUUUAUAUGAAAUAGUAAAAAUAAAAGGCGUAUAUUUAAUGUUUUGUCACAUUACAAAAUCGUCCACAUUGUCAUAAUAAAACUUGUAUUUCCAUCUAUUUUUAUAUAAAAGUAUAAGCUACGGGGAAAUAUUUUACGUAUUAAUUAUAAUGUAUAUAUUGAUUACUUAGUUGUGUUUCUUCAGCGCAUGUUUCGCCGGUUUUUGAUAAAAUUUAUUUCACACUUAAGCUGCUGAUAAGAUAUUUAUCAUAAAUUUUUCAACUUUUAAAACAGGUUGUAUAUAUUUAGGGAUACAGUAUUUUAAAAUUGAUAAAGAAAAAUAUAACAAACUUUAAUCUGUUAGAUACCGUCAUGUCUCAGAUAUAUUUAUCAACAAGCAGUGAAACAGACUAUCGUAAUUCUACUUACAAAUCGUAAUAAGUGGAUAUUUUUUUAAAUUAAAUAUAAGUGAAAUGAAAAAUAAGCCAAAAGCUAUUCUGAUAAUUUUGAACGAAAUGUGUCAAAUAUUAAGCUCAUAUCUUUAAUAGUGUUUAGAUACUCUUCUAUUAAGUCUAAAAUGGCAAAGUUUUGGCAACUGGUGUAUGUUAGAGAUGUACGUAUCAAACUGUUGGGCUAAAUUGUGGGAUCAGAGCGUAUUCCGCUGUUUAGUCAUCAUAGAACACUUAUGAAAUUGAUAUACUUAUGAUUUAUUAUUCUUAUGAUUGAUUAAGUUUAUCUUGUAAACUUAUUUUUAAUAUUAAAAACAUUUAAUUGUCUUUGUGUGCUUAUUAUAAGUACUCGAUUAUAAUACAAAUGUCCAGAUGCUGUUACAUCUCUAACAAACAUCGCCGUCUCUUUCAUUUCCUAAGCGAAAGAAAGAGAGAUAAAAUUAGUAUUGUAUAUAUUUAGCUAAAAGUUAAAUUGUUGUGAUGUGUGACGUAAUAUAGUCGGCGGGAGUUUAAAUAAUGUUAUGAUAGUUUUAAAUGUUAUUGAUGACGUAGCUCAAGCGGAGUUACUCAAAUCUAUAUCUUAUUUAUCUCAUAAUAAAGUAUAUUUUUGAUUGAUUAGUGCAAUUAAACUGAACUAAAUUAUGAAAUUUUGUUUUAUGUUUUAUUUUUAUUUACAGAAAUAG